rnacentral:misc_RNA from 1 species
UUUCCGUAGGUGAACCUGCGGAGGGAUCAUUACAGAGUCCAUGCCCUAUCGGGUAGAUCUCCCACCCUCUGUUAUUAUUACUUUGUUGCUUUGGCGGGCCGUUAGGCUCCGGCCUGACUAUCGGCCCCGGCCGGUAAGCGCCCGCCAGAUGACGCAAAACCCUGAAUAAUAGUGUCGUCUGAGUUAUAUAUAAUAGUUAAAACUUUCAACAACGGAUCUCUUGGUUCUG